rnacentral:rRNA from 1 species
CUACGGGGGGCAGCAGUGGGGAAUAUUGCACAAUGGGCGCAAGCCUGAUGCAGCCAUGCCGCGUGUGUGAAGAAGGCCUUCGGGUUGUAAAGCACUUUCAGUCGUGAGGAAGGUGGUGUUGUUAAUAGCAGCAUCAUUUGACGUUAGCGACAGAAGAAGCACCGGCUAACUCCGUGCCAGCAGCCGCGGUAAUACGGAGGGUGCGAGCGUUAAUCGGAAUUACUGGGCGUAAAGCGCAUGCAGGUGGUUUGUUAAGUCAGAUGUGAAAGCCCGGGGCUCAACCUCGGAAUAGCAUUUGAAACUGGCAAGCUAGAGUACUGUAGAGGGGGGUAGAAUUUCAGGUGUAGCGGUGAAAUGCGUAGAGAUCUGAAGGAAUACCGGUGGCGAAGGCGGCCCCCUGGACAGAUACUGACACUCAGAUGCGAAAGCGUGGGGAGCAAACAGGAUUAGAUACCCUCGUAGUC